rnacentral:rRNA from 1 species
UACGAAGGGGGCUAGCGUUGCUCGGAAUUCCUGGGCGUAAAGCGCACGUAGGCGGUCUUUUAAGUCGGGGGUGAAAUCCUGGAGCUCAACUCCAGAACUGCCUUCGAUACUGGAAGACUUGAGUCCGGGAGAGGUGAGUGGAACUGCGAGUGUAGAGGUGAAAUUCGUAGAUAUUCGCAAGAACACCAGUGGCGAAGGCGGCUCACUGGCCCGGUACUGACGCUGAGGUGCGAAAGUGUGGGGAGCAAACAGG